AAAACGGAGAGUUUGAUCCUGGCUCAGGAUGAACGCUGGCGGUAUGCUUAACACAUGCAAGUCGAACGGUGUCUUCGGACACAGUGGCGGACGGGUGAGUAACGCGUGAGAA
rnacentral:rRNA from 1 species